rnacentral:rRNA from 1 species
AGUGAACGCUGGCGGUAGGCCUAACACAUGCAAGUCGAACGGCAGCACAGUAAGAGCUUGCUCUUACGGGUGGCGAGUGGCGGACGGGUGAGGAAUACAUCGGAAUCUACUUUCUCGUGGGGGAUAACGUAGGGAAACUUACGCUAAUACCGCAUACGACCUACGGGUGAAAGCAGGGGAUCUUCGGACCUUGCGCGAUUGAAUGAGCCGAUGUCGGAUUAGCUAGUUGGCGGGGUAAAGGCCCACCAAGGCGACGAUCCGUAGCUGGUCUGAGAGGAUGAUCAGCCACACUGGAACUGAGACACGGUCCAGACUCCUACGGGAGGCAUCAGUGGGGAAUAUUGGACAAUGGGCGCAAGCCUGAUCCAGCCAUACCGCGUGGGUGAAGAAGGCCUUCGGGUUGUAAAGCCCUUUUGUUGGGAAAGAAAAGCAGCAGGUUAAUACCCCGCUGUUCUGACGGUACCCAAAGAAUAAGCACCGGCUAACUUCGUG